UACGGAGGAUCCAAGCGUUAUCCGGAUUUAUUGGGUUUAAAGGGUGCGUAGGCGGUUUUAUAAGUUAGAGGUUAAAUAUCGGAGCUUAACUCCGUUAUGCCUCUAAUACUGUAGGACUAGAGAAUAGUUGCGGUAGGCGGAAUGUAUGGUGUAGCGGUGAAAUGCUUAGAGAUCAUACAGAACACCGAUUGCGAAGGCAGCUUACCAAACUAUGACUGACGUUGAGGCACGAAAGCGUGG
rnacentral:rRNA from 1 species